rnacentral:lncRNA from 1 species
UGGAAUGGUUAUGCAAAGGAACAAAAACUGUCGGUUUAGUCAUCUUUUUGACACAUUUACAGAACAGCCACCUCUGUGCCACAAUGCUACUGGGACGCAGAGGUGAAGAGGUGCCACCACCGUCAAGAGGCCUUGGAGAAAGACCAUGGCACAUUAAAGAUAGUGUAGCUGAGGUUCAGGGAAGUAAAACAUCAAGGUCUGAUGACAACCAAGUAUUUCCGAAGUCCAAAAGACCAUACAAGAGAAAAAGUCUCGCUCUGUCACUCAGGCUGGAGGGCAGUGGUGCGAUCAUGGCUCACUCCAGCCUCGAAUCCUGAGCUGAAGCAAUCUUCCUGCCUUAGCAUCCCGAGAGCUAGGACUACAGGAAUGCACCACCAUGCCCAGCUAAUUUUUAAACAAUUUUUAUAGAGGUGGGGGGUCUCACUAUGUUACCCAGGCUAGUCUCAAACUCCCGGCCUCAAGAGAUCUUUCCAUCUUGGCCUCCCAAAGCGCUGGGAUUACAGGUGUUAGCCACCACCCCCUGCCCAGUGGCAUAUUUUUAUACACAGUGGGAGCCAGAUGUGAAGACAGACUGAAAAACAAAAUGUAGGUGGUCCUGUGUGAUUAGUCUAGGGAGACUGGGCAGGGAGAACAGUAAGUUUUUCACCAUGGGUGAUCUAAAACUUUUUGUUGUAAAAUCCCAUAGAUACUUACUGCUGCUCUUAUCUUCACUGAUUUCUUGGCAGCAUUUGAGACACCUGAAGGCUCCUCUCCUAAAUCCUUUAGAUUACCUGACACCACAAUUUCCUGCAUUUCUAUCCUCAUUUUCAGUCAUCAUAAGGAUCCUUUUAAGGUCUAUGAUCCCUGGGAUUUCACCCUCAGUUUUCUCUUGUCUUACUCUAUAUAUUGCUUGCUGAUUCAUAUUUCUCUCAUUGUACCAAGUACUCCUAGACUGGCAUCUCCAGACUAUAUCUGAGACCCUCUUGAGCUGUCAUGAGUAAAGGUGAUAAGUUCAUCUCCUUUUGGUUCCUUCCUAUUUUCUACAACAGAAGGGAGGACUAAUAAUAAUUUUUUUGAUGGUUAUAAUUUUGUAACUUUUUUAAUUUAAUUUUUGUGGGUACAUAGUAGGUAUACAUGAGAUGUUUUGACACAAGCAUGCAAUGUGUAAUAAUCACAUCAUGGAGAAUAAGGUACCCAUCCCCUUGAGCAUUUAUCCUUUGUGUUACAAAUAAUCCAAUUAUAUUCUUUCAGUUAUUUCAAAAUGUACAAAUAAAUUAUUAUUGACUAUAGUUACCCUGUUGUGCAAUAAAAUAGUAGGUAUUAUUCAUUCUUUCUAUUUUACUUUUGGUGCCCAUUAAUCAUCCCCACCUCUCUUACCACCCCUCACUCCCCUUCCCAGCCUCUGGUAACCAUCCUUCUACUGUCUAUCUCCAUGAGUGCAAUUGUUUUGAUUUUUAGAUCCCACAAAUAAGUGAGAACAUGCAAUGUCUAUCUGUCUGUGCCUGGCUUAUUUCACUUAACAUAAUGAUCUCUAGUUCCAUCCAUGUUGUUGCAAAUGAGAGGAUCUCAUUCUUUUUAUGGCUGAAUAGUAAUUGUGUAUAAGUACCACAUUUUCUUUACCCAUUCAACUGCUGAUAGACACUUAGGUUGUUUCCAAGCCUGGGCUAUUGUGAACAGUGCUGCAACAAACAUGGGAGUGCAGGUAUCUCUGUGUAAAAUACUGAUUCCCUUCUUUGGGGUAAAUACUCAGCUGUGGGAUUGCUGGAUCACAUGGUAGCUCUAUUUUUUGAGGAGCCUCCAAACUGUUCUCCCUAGUGGUUGUACUAAUUCAUGUUCCCACCAAUAGUGUAAGAUGGUUUCCUUUUCUCUACAUCCUCGCCAGCAUUUGCUAUUGCCUGUCUUUUGGAUAAAAGCCAUUUUAAUUGAGGUGACAUAUCCCAUUGUAGUUUUGAUUAUGUAUCUCUGAUGAUCAAUGAUGUUGAGUACCUUUUCAUAUGUCUGUCUGCCAUUUGUAUGUCUUCCUUCAAAAAAUGUCUAUUCAAAUCUUUGGCCCAUUUAAAAAUCAGAUUAGACUUUUCCCUAUAGAGUUGUUUGAACUCCUUAUAUUUUCUGGUUAUUAAUCCCUUGUCAGAUGGGCAGUCUGCAAAUGUUUUCUCCCAUUUUGUGGGUUGUCUCUUCAUUUUAGGGAUUGUCUCCUUUGCUGUUCAGAAGCUUGUUAACUUGAUGUGAUCCCAUUUGUCCAUUUUCGCUUUGGUUGUCUGUGCUUGUGGAGUUACCACUUGCCAUUUUUUUCUAGACCAAUGUCCUGGAGAUUUUCCCCAAUCAGUUCUUGUAGGAGCUUCAUAGUUAGAGGUUUUAGAUUUAAGUCUUUAAUUCAUUUUGAUUUGAUUUUUGUAUAUGGUGAAAGAUAGGGAUCUAGUUUCAUUCUUCUGCAUACGGAUAUCCAGUUUUCCCAGCAACACUUACUGAAGAAACUGUCUUUCCUCCAGUGUGUGUUCUUGGCAGCUUUGUUGAAAAUGAGUUCACUGUAGGUAUGUGAAUUUGUUUCUGGGUUCUCUAUUCUAUUCCAUUGGUCUAUGUGUCUGUUUUUUUGCCAGUACCAUGCUGUUUUGGUUAGUAUAGCUCUGUAGUAUAAUUUGAAGUGGGUAAUGUGAUUCCUCAAGUUUUGUUCUUUUUGCUUGGGAUAGCUUUGGUUAUUCUGGGUCUUUUGUGAUUCCAUAUAAAUUUUAGAAUUGUUCUAUUUCUGUGAAGAAUGUCAUUGGUAUUUUGACAGGGAAUGCAUUGAAUCUAUAGAUUUGGGUAGUAUGGACAUUUUAACAAUAUUAAUUCUUCCAAUCCAUGAGCAUGGAAUAUCUUUCCAUUUUCUGGUGCCUUCUUUAGUUUUUUUCAUCAGUGUCUUAUAGUUUUCAUUACAGAGAUCUUUCACUUUUUUAGUUAAAUUAAUUCCUAGGCAUUUAAUUUUAUUUGUGGCUACUAUAAAUGGGAUUACUUUUUAAAAAAUUAUUUUCCAGGUCGGGCAUGGUGGCUCACACCUGCAAUCCCAGUACUUUGGGAGGCGGAGGGAGGCGGAUCACUGGAAGCCAGGAAUUCAAUACCAGCCUGGCUGACAUGGUGAAAUCCUAUCUCUACUAAAAAUACAAAAAUUAGCUGGGCAUAGUGGUGCACGCCUGUAGUCCCAGCUACUGAGGAGGCUGAGGCAGGAGAAUUGUUUGAACCUGGGAGGUGGAGGUUGCAGUGAGCCAAGAUCGCACCACUGCACUCACUGCACUCACUCCAGCCCGGGCGACAGAGCGAGACUGUCUCUCAAAAAAAAAAAAAAAAAAAAAAAAAAAAAAAAAAAACACAACAAGAAUUAUUUCCCAGAUUGUUCACUGUUGACAUAUAGAAAUGCUACUGAUUUUUGUAUGCUGAUUUUGUAUCCUGCAACUUUACUGAAUUUAUCAGUUGUAAUAGUUGUUGUUUUUUUUUUUUUUUGGUGAAGUCUUUAGGUUUUUCCAAAUAUGAGAUCAUAUCAUGAGCAAACAAGGAUAAUUUGACUUCCUGGGAGGAGGGAUAAUUAACGGGCACCUUAAAUCUCUAAAACCUUGGUAAAGUGCUUUGUUUUAUAAAAUAGAUAAUAGUUAGAAUUUUGUGUUUUGUCUAUGGAUGUCUACACAUUAUUUUAGACCCUGGAAAUACAGGUGCCACAGCUGACAUUUUAUUUGCUAAAUUUCAACAAUAACCAUCAUCAAACAGUGAAAAAUGAACAGGAAUAAAUAGCAUGGGAACAUUAAGUGGCCAAAGGGUAUGAGAAAAAUGUUAGGAAAUUCUUGUUAUCUGUGCAAUUAGAAACAAAAUAAACCAAAGAAUUGAAUUAAUGACAAGAAGUGAUAUAUAUUGAACUAAAAUAUGUUAGCAUCUAGUCAUUUCUAUUUCUAAAAUAUCAUAGUAAAGGGAAGAAAAGCCAUUGUAUUCAACUGCUCAGAAAUCUGACUGUGAGUACUCCAGCAUCUACCUACCUUUGACUAUGGACUUCUGAAGACUAUAGUACUAGCACUAGCAGGGAACAACAUUCAAAGAACCUUGGACUGGGCAACCAGCCUUGCGAUUAAAUGCUUCUUGCUCAAUGUUCAUCUAAUACCUUUGGGUUCCAAGAUCUCAACACAUUCUUAGCAUUUGGUCUCAGCAAAAGAUCAGAUAAUCAUUUGCUUCUCAGCGUAGAUUUCAGUUAGUGGGUUUGAUUUCCUCAUCUAGUACUAUUUGCCUCUUAAAUCAAAUGUCCAAAAAGAAAUAAGGACAGGGCAAAAGGCAAUAUGCAAAAGGCACCAGAAGCUACUAUGCGGGGGUUUCCUUUUUGCUGUAGUCUCAGAAAUGGCAGGGAGGGGUCAGAAGUUUUUGCCCUAUUAGGAAGUAAGGCAGAAUUCCCCACAGUGAUGUCACAGACAAGACUUAGUUAAGGAGGGGCUAGAAAGUAAUAAAAGAAUGGAAUGAUAUGUUUUCUCCCCUGACAACCCACACCGUUCUCUUAGAGGCAGGGAAAAGAGAAAGAAGGUGGAAGUUGGAGAAAGAAUGGUAGAGUAUUAGGCAAAGAAAAUAAAAGUCUUCCCUCAUAGAAGAAGAAAGCAUCAUUCUAGUAACUCCCCAUCCCUACCCUAUCUCAAGUGCAGCUAAUGGUGAGAAGUAGAAAAUGUUUUGUCAAUAAAUGAAUCACAAAUGAGUUCCUCUCUAUAUUCCGUAAGACACAUUCUGUGUAGAUCCUGUAAUUAAGGAGUUCCAAACUUAGCUAAGAAGCCAUGUACAUUUUUAAAAUAUAAAGCAGCACAAAUACAGCAUUAAGUCAGAAGUAAUAUUAGGAGUUUAGAGGCAUGAACAACUGCUGUAGCUCAGAGUGGUUUGAGAAAGCUUUGUAAGCAAAAGACCCGAGGCCAGGCCAGGUCAGUAUGAAGGCCUGGACUACAUUAUCCUUCCUAGUUCAUCUUCUUUCUUUGGCUCAGUCAGCAAGGAACUUCUAAACAUAUAAAAACAAUACACCAUCAAAUGUCUUACAAAAGUACUCCAUAAAGUAUAAAAUGUUAAGUAUGUUACCUGACUCUUCAGGAGAGCAGGAUGAAGUGAAUUAUCUGUUACCAUCACCAUCAUAAGAGCAUUGAAUGUUCAAUGUUCAAUUCAAUGCCAGACACUGCACUGUUGGCUGGAUAACAUAAUGCCUAUUCAUAAUCCCUUUUCCUUGUUUGUCCUUAAUUAGAGAGUCUAGGCAAACAGAAUGUUUACUUUCCUGGUAACUGGAGGUAUCCACAUGUCACAGUUCUGAAUAAUAAGACAUAAGUAGAAAUCUUUUGGAGGUUCCUGGGAAAGCUUUUGCUUCUCUUGCUACCAUGAGGCUGAAAGCCCACACACUAGAUGGCUGGCUGGGAAGACAGAAGAAGCAUGCUUGAUUGCAACACUGACUGUCUACACCAAAGGCAGGAACUGCUUAUUCUAGACUUCUUGUAAUGUGAGAAAAAUCAACUAUUUAACACACUAUGCGCUUUCUCUUACAUAAACUGAAAAUAUUCCUGAGAUAAAUGCUUACCAUGUGCGUGGCCAAGGUUAUAAAGUAGGUAGGUGACAAAAACAGAAUUCAAUCCCAUUUCUGACAGACCCAAAGCCCUGACCUUAACCAAUACACUAACAAGGAUACACACAGUGUCAAAAAAACCAGAUAUCUUAAUGACCAGUACUGUGGUUGUUCUGGUUUGAAGGACCAGUCAUCCCAUGAUUGUCACAGCCAUUCUCCUCAUAAAACUUUACAUUCUGGGAACACCUUAAUAAUAUGCUCCAAAAACAAUGACUCCAAAUUUCACUGGGUUUUAGACUAAGGGCAACGAGACUGAAUUUACUGAUUCAUACAUACUGGUCAUCUUCUCCUGAUUCCCUGUACACCCCCACAUUUUUUUUUUUGAGACAGAAUCUCACUCCGUUGCCCAGGCUGGAGUGCAGUGGCGUCAUCUCAGCUCACUACAACCUCCGCCUCCCAGGUUCAAGCAAUUUUUGUGCGUCAACCUCCCGAGUAACUGGGAUUAUAGGCAUGUGUCACCACACCCAGCUAAUUUUUUUUUUAUUUUUAGUAGAGAUAGGGAUUUGCCAUGUUGGCCAGGCUGGUCUUGAACUCCUGGCCUCAACUGAUCUACCUGUCUCGGCCUCCCAAAGUGCUGAGAUUACAGGCAUGAGCCACUGUGACAGGCCCUGAUUCCUUUCAUGACAAAUCUAUGACACUCUUCUUUCAUUUUGAAUUUCUUUCACACUUGAAAUCCAGAAAAAUAUAACAUUUGCCUAGCCAAACUUGCCCUGUUCUCUUUUCUUUUUUUGCACCCAUUUGGGGUUUCAAGAUGGUCACAAGUCAGUCCUGCCCUUGUUUUUCAUACAAUAGACAAGUGUCAUUUCAACAGACUAAGCAUCUGAUAACACUUAAAAAAUAAAUAGCAGACUAUAUCUGGAGAGCCGCUUAUGCCCUACAAUACAACAAAUUGGAAGAUCAUUCAGUAAUAUUUCAAAGCCCCACACAACACUGAGCUGAUGGUGGCAGUGAUCAACUGUUGACAGCUGUUAAGGUUCUCAUGAAAUGCACUCCUCAUCUGUGGUUAUGACUGGCCAUUACAUAGGAGGAUUAAUGGGGCUGCUUUUGACUGUCAUGGAAAGUGUAAGAUAUGUUCUUUAUGUAGAUCCCUAAGAGCAAACAUCCCCUCUACAGAGCUGAUAGGUCACCUGCCUCAACCAAUUAGCUAAUUGUCUGAAAUCACUCCUCAUAGAUCACGGAAAACUGACUUGUGAAUAAACUCUGUUCAUACAGAAAGCAAGAGCCUUUUGUUUCCUUUUGAAGACCUUAUUCAACUCUAAGGCCCCUUCCAACCACAAAAUUCUAAAUUCUACAAAUGUGAACAAUCAGCUCCAAUGAAUGAAUCCUUCCAGCUUUAUGGCAAAUGAGUGCUUUUUUGACUACGGGUUGUUUUUCUUUUUAAAGAGAAAAUUGUUUUUUAAAUGUAGCUUCCUGACUGCACCAGGUGUGAAAUGGUAAAUAAAAGAACAAGCAGUUGUGUUGACCAUCUUUGGUUGUUUCCUUCAAAGCUUACCAGACUGAUGUCAUUCUGGAUGUUUUCUAUUCUGCUUACCAAGCUCGGUUUUCCUAGAAAAAGUCUGUAGAAUGACUGCCCUAAUCCUAAUCAAAACAUACCAUCAUAUUCUAAAAGCUCAGGGCUAUCUGGGAGAUUGGUAGCUAGCUCUCACUGAAUAAAGAGGAGUGAGUAGCCCCUUUUUCGUGGAUAAUUCUAGGAACUGGCAAGACAGUCUUUCUCUUUGGCCUCCUGGAUGAACAAAGAUGGGCUGAGAAUCAAUGAUGUUGCCCUAAGUGACAAGAUGCCUUUAUUCACACUGUGCAUACACCCUCUCAUGGACCCUUAUUUUUCUGCUCCCAAAUAUAGUAUUUUGUUCAGAUUUCUACCCUUUCCUGUGUCAUUCCUCCUAUCACUUUGAAAUCUUUCUUCAAAAGUCUAAAAUUCCACAAAUGAAGAUGAACAAAGGGAAAGCUUAUAUCUGUCUCAUCUGGGAACCCUGGAAAAGCUACACUGCUUAUGUGAAGAGGAAAAAAAAAAAAAAAAGAUGGGCAGGAGUUUAGUAAGACUGGGGGAAGAGAGAAAAGGAAACUCCCCAGGAAAGGAAGAAAACAAAGUAUUUACCACGUGACAGAUACCACCAUGAUAAGUACUUACACAUAAAUUCUCAUCUGUACCUCACAACCUCACAACAGAUGACCCUAGGAAAGGGUGUAUCUCUCAAAGCCUUUAACCAGUUUAAGAAAUUUGCCCAAGGUAAAUCUAGGUCUCAAACCCAGAUCUGGCUCAAAAUCAUCUCUUUCCUCAUCACAAUGGUGAUCAGCCGCAUGGAAGCAGGAAGGGAUAAGCCUCAUUUAAGGAACAGUAAACCUCCCUCCCACCUCCCUACUACCAUGCCCAAGAUAUUUUUCAUCUUCAGCAACAUUCAAAGAUGCUCUUUCUUGAUGCCUAUAAAAUGAAGUCAAGUUCAUGUGCCUGGCAUUAAAGGUGACUCCAGUUCAGCUAGAAGCUCCUGAUUAUAUCUACUAUCUUACUUUACCCUGUACCCCAUGACUUUAUUCUUGAGUCUAUGGUUUCACAUCUCUCAUCCAAUAAAGGAAGCACAUGCUUUUAUUGGAUAUAUUCAUUUAUUCAUUCAACAUUUAUUGAAUGCCUAUUAUGUGUCAUUUCUUCAAUACACUUUUAUUGAGCAAUUGCUAUGCUCUAGGCAUAUUGGUAAUAUUGGUAAAUGGUAAAUAUCGGAGAAUGACAACGAGAUAUAUUUAGGGAAUAAGUAUAGAAUACUAAAUGCUGGUGUGACAGGAGAUACCAAUGUAAUCCUCUUGAAUAAUCAUUGCCUUUAGAUGUGCUGAGCUGAAUCACUAGUAGACCCUGGGAUUAAGGCUUAGGUAUAGUUUAAGUUCAAUUCAAAUAUGUCAUCAAAUUGAGAUGAUGAAAGAAGCAACCAUAAUGAUCCUGCACUAGGGUCAUCAGCUCCAGGACUGCCAAUGGUUUCUUAAAAGAUAUCAUUUAAUGCCUAUCCUCACGAAUCUCAUCAAGUAGUCAACAAUUUCACUUUGGUUACACCUAAUGUCACUCUUGGGGUCUUGUUUAAAUGGUGACUCCUAAAGAACAAAUAUUCAGAACCUGCUAGGUACUUGCCC